rnacentral:ncRNA from 1 species
CCUGCUAAGCCUCUUAACAAUGCUCAAAUCAGCAGGU